GUCCCUGUAGAGCAAUGGAUAGCGCCUUGGACUUUUAAUCCAAAAGUUCGUGGGUUCAAAAUUCCACCUGGGAAG